rnacentral:rRNA from 1 species
GUGCAGUUAAAAAGCUCGUAGUUGGAUUUCUGGCAUUGAGAAGGCGUUGUUCGUUGAAUUUUUGUGUGAUGUUGUUGCAAAACGACAGAGUGCAGAGGUCCAAAGUGGACAGUGUCUUUUCUGCCAUCAUUCGUGGAGAACAGUUCGGUUCUUAAGUGAGUUGGACUGUGAUCCUGAUCAAUUACUUUGAAAAAAUUAGAGUGUUCAAAGCAGGCUGAGGCUGUGAAUACAUUAGCAUGGAAUAAUGAGAAAGGACCUGAGUCCCUUUUUUCAUCAUCAUUGGUUUCAAGGACACAAGCCACGAUUGAUAGGGAUAGUUGGGGGUGCUGGUAUUCAACGGCCAGAGGUGAAAUUCUGUGAUUCGUUGAGGACCGACAAAUGCGAAAGCAUUCACCAAGGAUGUCUUCUUUAAUCAAGAACGAAAGUUGGGGGAUCGAAGACGAUCAGAUACCGUCGUAGUCUCAACCAUAAACAAUGCCAACUGGGGAUUGGUGGACGUUAGAAAUUGAAUCAUGACUCCAUCAGCACCUUAAGAGAAAUUAAGAGUCUUUGGGUUCGGAGGGAAGUCCGAUCGCAAGGUUGAAACUUAAAGGAAUUGACGGAAGGACACCACCAGGAGUGGAGCCUGCGGCUUAAUUUGACCCAACACGGGAAAACUUACCAGGUCCAGACAUAGUGAGGAUUGACAGAUUGAAGAUCUUUCUUGAUUCUAUGGUUGGUGGUGCAUGGUCGUUCUUAGUUGGUGGAGUGAUUUGUCUGGUUAAUUCCGUUAACGAACGAGACCUCAGCCUGCUAAAUAGUUGGGUGAAUACUUUCGAGAAUUCAUUUGAGCUCUUUCGGGAGCUCGCCAACUUCUUAGAGGGACUGUUGGUGUUUAGCCAAAGGAAGUUUGAGGCAAUAACAGGUCUGUGAUGCCCUUAGAUGUUCUGGGCUGCACGUGCGCUACACUGUUGUGUUCAGCGAGUUAUUCAACCUUGAUCGACAGGUCUGGGUAAUCUUUCAAAGCACAACGUGAUGGGGCCAGAUGAUUGUAAUUAUUCAUCUUCAACGAGGAAUUCCUAGUAAGCGCAAGUCACCAGCUUGCAUUGAUUACGUCCCUGCCCUUUGUACACACCGCCCGUCGCUCCUACCGAUUGAAUGAUCAGGUGAAAUCUCCAGACCAAGACACGAACAAGGGCGCAAGUUCUUGCUUGAAUUUUGGGAAGUUGAGUGAACCUUAUCAUUUAGAGGAAGGAGAAGUC